AGUGGACGGAGGCUCCGUUGACUGCACUGGCAGGGGAGAUCAGCCCCGGGAUCCGGACGAGGUAUGUGCCACAUGCUAGCUGGAGGCGACAGUGAGUUGGGUGUAGUUAUUGGAUUUGGAACACUAAACGAUGCGAAGUUGGUGGGUGAUUAUUGCCCACAUAUGGAGUCCAGGUACAUCAAUGGGGUUUCAAUGGGUUAAUGGCCUGUUUGAUGAUGUUCCAGGGAUUGCUAGGAUAGAUGCUACACCUUGAAUAUCAAGGAGAUGAAAGUAUUGUUCAUAUACUGUGAUCUUAGGGUAGUGGUUGCUGGGUGAGCUAUGUUAGGUGAGUGUUGUAGAUUAGAUACCCGAGCACAAAGGGAG
rnacentral:sRNA from 1 species